GCCUGGCUAGCUCAGUUGGUAGAGCGUGAGCCUUUUAACCACAGGGUCAUGGGUUCGAGCCCCACGUUGGGCA